GUCUCAAAGAUUAAGCCAUGCAUGUCUAAGUAUAAGCAACUAUACGGUGAAACUGCGAAUGGCUCAUUAAAUCAGUUAUCGUUUAUUUGAUAGUACCUUACUACAUGGAUAACCGUGGUAAUUCUAGAGCUAAUACAUGCUAAAAACCUCGACUUCGGAAGGGGUGUAUUUAUUAGAUAAAAAACCAAUGCCCUUCGGGGCUCCUUGGUGAAUCAUAAUAACUUAACGAAUCGCAUGGCCUUGCGCCGGCGAUGGUUCAUUCAAAUUUCUGCCCUAUCAACUUUCGAUGGUAGGAUAGUGGCCUACCAUGGUAUCAACGGGUAACGGGGAAUUAGGGUUCGACUCCGGAGAGGGAGCCUGAGAAACGGCUACCACAUCCAAGGAAGGCAGCAGGCGCGCAAAUUACCCAAUCCCGACACGGGGAGGUAGUGACAAUAAAUACUGAUACAGGGCUCUUUUGGGUCUUGUAAUUGGAAUGAGUACAAUUUAAAUCCCUUAACGAGGAACAAUUGGAGGGCAAGUCUGGUG
rnacentral:rRNA from 1 species